UUAAGUUCAGCGGGUAGUCCUACCUGAUUUGAGGUCUAGUCUUAAAAAUUGCCAAAAAGGCGAUUAGAAGCAGUCUUCUCCUUGACCUAAUGAAACUUAUUACAUCAGGCUACGGUUAGAACCACUAAGGCAUUCAAGGUGAGCACAUGGCAAACACCCAAAUCCACGUCUCCAAAAAAACUCUUGGAGAGUGAGGUUUC
rnacentral:misc_RNA from 1 species